rnacentral:lncRNA from 1 species
CUGAUAUUGUUUUGUGGAAUAGAGUAGGAAAUAAGAAUUAGUGCUUGGAUCAUAAUAUCUUCAUUACAAGCAAUUAUAGAGCUCACUACCAAAGGAGAAGUGUUUGAUAUUGGGAACAAACUAUGCAUUCAAAAUAGGAAAGGCAGAAGGCCUUCUCUUGAUGAGUUUAAGCAUUCAGUGACACAUUCUUUCUUCUUUUGAGCUCACCCUGAUUACUCUUUUACUCCCUUUAUAUUCCUACUGUAAGUGGGAGGGCAAAAUGUGAGCUGUGCAGUAGCAACUCAGAUGGCAAAACACAGUCGGCAAUAAGCCACAAAAAAUGCAAUACCCAAAAAGGAAACAAAAUUACUAGUAUGACAGUGAAGUGAGCUGACACUGCAUAAUCAAAUGGCAGGAUACAAAUAUUUAAUUAAUUAAUUGUAAAGAAAAGGAAAAAGAAAAGGAAAGAGAGAUACUAAGGUUAUUUCACUUAUUUCUGCUCCAUUAUUUUGCUGCACCUCCCCAGUAUAUGACUUAUUUAUUGCUUUUUACAAGUUGUGGUAAAAAGAGUGGAUAACUAACCUGAAUUUUAUCACUGUAGGAAUCCUACUUCAUAUGACAGAAAAAAUCCUGACUACCUCUUUCCCAACUCCAGGAGCAUAAACAGUUCACAAACCUUCUCCACUCUUUUCGGUGUAUUUCCAGUGCUGAAUGUCUGUUUUAAGCACAUAGAGCAACCUUGCCCUGCUCCUGCACCAUACGGAUUUAAUGUACUUUAGCUUUUAUGAAGAAAGAAUUCUGCAGAAUUACUUAAGCUGAAAAGCCACUUGCCUGAGCCCCCUCAGAUCCAUUAUGAUGUCAUUGGAUUUAAAUGGAUGGAUGUGACAACACUGUGAAUAUUCAGCUGCCACAGGAACUGGGUGCUGCAGUGCCAGGAGUUUCAUGUGGCCUUCUCACCGGUGUUCCUGAGGCUGCCUCUGUUAGUAGGAAAAGCAGUUGCAGAACAAAGUUACAAUUUAUUACAAGAACGAAAUCUUAUGGAAAAAGGAUACUGGCUAGUCCUCACUGAUAAGAAAUAGAAACAGACUGCCUACAGACAAGAUGACUUCAUGUAAAGUAUUGAGCAACAUUAAAUUUGUUCUCUGUUUUAUUCAUUUGUAAUAUAAAGGAGUCAUGGUGCAUUUACUAAGAGCCCAG